rnacentral:tRNA from 1 species
GCGGGUGUGGUGAAAUUGGUAUACACGCUAGAUUUAGGAUCUAGUGCAGCAAUGCGUGAAGGUUCGAGUCCUUUCACCCGCA